rnacentral:misc_RNA from 1 species
UCUGGUUCCGACUGUUGCGG